rnacentral:rRNA from 1 species
AACGAACGCUGGCGGCAGGCUUAACACAUGCAAGUCGAGCGGGCCCUUCGGGGUCAGCGGCAGACGGGUGAGUAACGCGUGGGAAUCUACCCAUCUCUGCGGAACAACUCCGGGAAACUGGAGCUAAUACCGCAUACGCCCUUUUGGGGAAAGAUUUAUCGGGGAUGGAUGAGCCCGCGUUGGAUUAGCUAGUUGGUGGGGUAAAGGCCUACCAAGGCGACGAUCCAUAGCUGGUCUGAGAGGAUGAUCAGCCACAUUGGGGCUGAGACACGGCCCAAACUCCUACGGGAGGCAGCAGUGGGGAAUAUUGGACAAUGGGCGCAAGCCUGAUCCAGCCAUGCCGCGUGAGUGAUGAAGGCCUUAGGGUUGUAAAGCUCUUUCACCGAUGAAGAUAAUGACGGUAGUCGGAGAAGAAGCCCCGGCUAACUUCGUGCCAGCAGCCGCCGCUGUAA